GGGUGGGCAAAUGAAGACAGGUAAGCAAAAUAUGUAUAUCUAUGACAUAAUGUGGUGAUUUAAGUUGAACAAGUCAAGGGAUUUGUGGAUGGGCCCUAAACUAGCAUGAUUAUUUUAUUUGAUCCCAAUAAGGUAGUGUUAGUGAGUACAAACAGAUCAGGAAGUCGAGGUGUCAUUUUGUUGUGCAGAGUACUCAACAGUCUUGAUCAGGUUUUUACUCUACAAAUGAUGACUAUAAAGUACUCUAUACAAGUAUUCUAUGUAGUAUGUACUGAUUAUCCCUUUGUUUAUCAUUUCAUCAUGGUGUUUAGCCAAGGCAAUUCAUCUUCACCAUGUAAUGUCUGACGUGCACAAUGCUUAUGCUGAAAGAUCCAUAUUGACUGUCUAUAAGACUUGCCUAAAAGAAAUAUCUGAAGCUGAAAAAUUCUACCUUUCUAAAAUUUUUUGUUUUAGUGGUACACAAUUAAAAGAUGAAAAAAGAAAUGAAACAAAUUUUAUUUGUUUCAUUUUUGAAAGAUCCAUAUUACUUUCUAUAAAACUUGCCUGAAAGAAAUACUGUGAUUCUGUGAAGCUGAAAUAAUUAUCUUUCUAUUUUCUUUGGUACCUAAUUAAAAGAUAAAAAGCCAUGAAACAUAUUUUAUAUUUGAUGGUACCCGCUAAUUUUCAGCCAAUUAUAGGAUGGUAUGUUCAGUUUUGAUUUUUGAAACAGAAAAGUUCUCAGUGCAUAUGAACAUGCAUAAAGUGAUAUUUACUAUAUAGAUUUAUGAACUAAAGGAACAGUUUAUACAGACCAAACCUAACAUGAUGUGAAUGCUUAAUUUUAAACUUAUUUUCACUUCAAACCUCGCACUUCUUUUGGGGGAUUUAGCCACCCAUGAUUAGUAUUGUCUUUUUUGGUUAGAAUUUGAAAUGUUCUAAUUUUUCAUUGAUAGUCAAAAAGGAAAAUGCAAAGUUGUUUAUACUUGAUUAUAAAUUUUUAAAUUGAUGGAUAAAAUUCUACUUUUCUCCUCCUCUUUAUCAAGUGUUUGUUGUUGAUGUUUUGUCAGGUAAAAUCCCAGUUCGAUUGUACAUCUGGAGUGUUAGCGAGGAUUUUGAAGAUUUUGAAGAUAUGCCAAAAAUUGAUAGUUGGGACAAAAUU
rnacentral:misc_RNA from 1 species